rnacentral:rRNA from 1 species
UACGUAGGGGGCAAGCGUUGUCCGGAAUUAUUGGGCGUAAAGAGCGUGUAGGCGGCCAGAUAAGUCCGCUGUGAAAUCUCGAGGCUCAACUCCGAGCUGUCGGUGGAAACUAUCUGGCUAGAGUCCGGAAGAGGAGAAUGGAAUUCCUGGUGUAGCGGUGAAAUGCGCAGAUAUCAGGAAGAACACCCGUGGCGAAGGCGGUUCUCUGGGACGGUACUGACGCUGAGGUGCGAAAGCGUGGGGAGCAAACAGG